rnacentral:lncRNA from 1 species
AAGAGGAAUGAUACACAGUAUUUUUUUUUGGGGGGCAAUUGCUUAUAUACAUCUAAAAAUUUUCGACUUUCUGAUUUAUCUUUCUUAUAAGGCUAAUAUUGAAAAUAUUUUUUUUACGUUCCAAUCUAUUUCAAAUAUAUUCCUAGAGUUAAAUUCUGUUAAUGAAAUGUUAAAAUAGAUGUUAUCUUUAUAAAAUUACUAUUUUGUUCUUUCAAAUAUAUCCUUCUACCAUCACCGACUUUUCUUAUUUGUCUUUUAAGUUAGAGNCACAGUAUUUUUUUUUGGGGGGCAAUUGCUUAUAUACAUCUAAAAAUUUUCGACUUUCUGAUUUAUCUUUCUUAUAAGGCUAAUAUUGAAAAUAUUUUGUUCUUUCAAAUAUAUCCUUCUACCAUCACCGACUUUUCUUAUUUGUCUUUUAAGUUAGAGGUACAAAAAAUAUUUUGAUUUUUUGUUUUUUCAAAUAUACCCUUCUACCAUCACCAAUAUUUUUUAUUUGCCCUUAAAUUAAGGAUAAAAGAGGUAUUUUAUUUUUUUUAACUCUAGUAGAUAUUCAACUCACGUUUAACCCAAGUUAACUUAACAUGUGGGAACUGCAGGGAUAUUUUGAAAUAACGGAGAAAUAUAUGAAGGGUAUAUUGAAAAGAAAAAAAAAUAGAGGUAAAUAAAAUAUUUCUGAAGUUUUGAAAGGUAUAUAGAUAAUUAUUUAUUUUUUUUAAAAAAAUAACAUAUAAGAAUCCGCCACGUACCUGGAAAAUUUUUGUAGCCAAUGCGUUUGGUUUAAUUGAUACAGCGAAAGUUUUUUUUUUUUUUCACUUGACUCGGGACCGAAUAGGCUCGCCGAACUGACCUCCACCAUCGGAUGGGAGGAGUAUGUAGCACUUCCGAAUCGGAAAAUGAAGCACAACUCUUAGGCAGCGUUUGGUUAGGAGAUAGGAAUAGAAAUAGGCCCUUUUCCCCCUCCCUUUAUAUCCAAACGCUAAUUUUUUACUCGAGAAUAGUAGUUCUCGGUUAUCCCCACCAACACCUCCAUUUUCUAUAUAAAACUACCUAAAAUUGUUCUUAUCCUCGAGAACAACCCAAUUUUCAUCCAAACACUAUUUUUCUUAUCCUCAUACUUGUACCUAUCCCUGUAAUAGCUAGUUCUUGCUUAUACCCAAACCAAACGGUACCCUAAUAUUUCAUCUGUAAUGCGUGUAUUAUAAAAAUGUCAUGAUGGAUUGUUCUUUUUCUUCUUUUUCUUUUCUUUUUUUUUUGUUUUCUUUCAAAGAAAGAGAAAGAGAGUAUGAUACGCACUUCGUUAACUUUUUUUUCAUAAAAAAAUUGAGCUAAAUAAUAUAAAAUAAUUAAAUUUUAACUUGAGAUCUCAGAUAUCAACUAUCAAGCUCCUAGCUAACUGUGCUAGAUAUGGUCUUAUAAAU